UUGCAUGAGACCAAACAGCAGGCAAGUAUUUUAGUUCUUGUUGUUCUUCACAAAGCUUAAAUUCUUGUCAAUAAUAAAGUUAACAUCUUGUUGUUCUACAGUCAUGUUUUAUAUUCCGACAUCAUAUCUUGAUCUGUGAUUGGCAAAGAAAUAACUGACUCUUUGGCUUCUGAAAUACUUUGCCCUUUUACAUGUUGAGCAUUGAUUGAAUCUAAUGCAACGCUAACCUAAGAAUAGGAUUCAAUUUUUGUGGCUAAACAAAGGUCAACUUUUUGUGUUUAUUCAAUCUCUCUUUUAUGUAUAACCCAUGUUUCAAGGUUGCUUUGCUACUCGCACUUAUAUAAUUAUGUUCAAUUUAUAUGAAAAAAGAAUUCCUUGGUGGAAUUAUACAAGAAAUAGAAAGUGAGCUUUCAGUGUAAUGCAUGCCAAUUACUAGUAAGCAUUCCCUACUUUGAACUCUUAGGUAGUUGGAAGAUACUGUGCCAGUUUGUUGUAUGAGGUAUAUACUUUUGUUUUGGCCCCUGUUCUAUGGUAGCAGCCACAAUUUCAAAGAUUUAGAAUAUUUGAGAUGGGAAAAUCCUCAUGUGUGUGUUUUAGAGCUGAUAUAGAAUAUUUCUUUCUAGCUGGGACAACCUUAUGACAUUAGAGUCCUUCUGAGAUUGACUACAAGACAUGUUUUGAACCCAUCUUUCUUAUAGCAUAUUGUGAAAAGGUUGCUGAUAGUUAUCCAUGAGAAUAGCUUCUGGUGUAGUAUUUGCAAGCUCGGUUAUUCAGGAACUGCGGUUACUUCUCAGGUAUGUUGCGUUCUUUUUUCUUACUGGCAGUUAUAUGUGUUUAGGAAAUCAAGCAUUUAACAAUCGUUGCUUGUUAAAUGUGUAACUCUCAGCAUUGUGGCUCUUCGUUUUUUGGGUAAAACAUUGUGGCUCUUUAAUGUCCUGUAAAGUUCAUUUUUGUGAAAAUGCUUUAACCAAAUGUAGAAUCAAAUGCGAAAUAUCUUUUGAUUGAAAUGGCGGGGGAUGUCGUUUGUUAUUGCUGUAAUGAGAAAUCACAGACAGUUCGCAAUGAAGAAGAGAUGGCAAUGGAAGGUAGCACGAGCGCAAGUAGUGAUGGGAGCAGGAAUUCGAGUUGCGGACACGAACACUGAUUAUCAUUUACCAGAGAAGAAGGAUGAUGAAGACUUUUAAGGCUUGGCUGAAAUUAAUUGUUUACAUAUUCUCUUUGUGAACUUUUGUUAAAGGUUUCUUUUUAAGGAGUUUUAUUGAGAUCCUAAGAUGUGGCGUGCAUAUAUAUAAACUGUGAUUACAGGCAAGUAAUCUUUGGAUGAAUUUUCAUGCUGAGCAUUGAUUGAAUCUAAGGCUUGAAAGUUUAUUCUCAUAAACGCUUCUCUAAGAAUAGGAUUCCAUUUUUGUGAGUAAACAAAGGUCAAUUGUUUGUAUUUAUUUCAAUCUCUCUUUUAUUUAUAUUCCAUGUUUCAAGGUUGCUUUGCUACUCACACUUAAAUAAUUUUGAUCAAUUUAUAUUAAAAAAGAAUUCCUUGGUGGAAUUUAUACAAGAAAUAGAAGGUGACCUUUCAGUGUAAUGUAUACCAAUUACUAGUAAGCGUUCCCUACUUUGAAGUCUUAGGUAGUUGGAUCAUACUGUGCAUGUUUGAGGUCUGCAAUCCGCUCUUUCGAAGAUUUAUUCUAUUCAAAACUUUGGAUAAUUAUCGUAAUAUGUGCACAGGUGAUAUAAAAUAUUUCUUUCUAGUUGGUACAACCAAGAUAAAUCUGACAACCUUUGUACUUCUGAAAUUAACUAUAAGAUGAGGUUUGAACCCUUCUUUAUUAUAGCACAUUCUGUGAAAAUUUAAUAUGUUUGGUACUAGGAGAAUGAUGUUGAAGAUGAAAGGGUGUCUGAUAAAUGGCUAUGAGAAUUGCUUCUGGACACUUAGUGUUGGUUAUUCAGGAACUGUGAUUAUUUCUCAGAUAAAGCCAUGUUCAGUCAUACAUGGCCUUUGCAUACCAAUCAUGAUAGGGGCGGGUUGUAAGAGAAGAGUUUGAUUCAGUGGAUAUGUUCCUAAUUCUGGAGAUGGUUUGAGAAGCUGUAAAAUAGGAGUACGGAGUGGGAUCAUCUCUCAGCAGUUACAUGACAGAGCUAGAAAAGUCAAAACCUGUCAUUUUAAGGUUAAAACAUUCGUCGAGUAGAACUUUUCUAGGAGAACAAAGGUGCCACGAAGAAGGAGAAGCUGUCAAUUGAAUCCACUGAGGUUUCAGCCUUUCAGGAUGGAGUCGGCCCAAAAGGAGGCCUGGAGGAAUAGAAGAUCAAGGCCCGGCCGAAACUUGGGAAAGCAGGAAAGGGCCUUUUCUGACUUGAUACAAUUCAUAAGGGCCACUUGCCUACCUACCCAAGGACCAAGUGGUGUAGACUGAUCAGACUGCACAGCCCAUAAAGUACUUUAUGGUGGCAUUACAUGUAAU